rnacentral:rRNA from 1 species
AAUUACUGGGCGUAAAAGCGUGCGCAGGGCGGUUGUGCAUGUCCGAUGUGAAAAGCCCCGGGCUUAACCCUGGGAACGGCAUUGGAGUGUGCACGGCUUAGAGUGCGUGAGAGGGGGGGUAGAAUUCCAUGUGUAGCAGUGAAAUGUGUAGAGAUGUGGAGGAAUCACCAUGGCGAAGGCAGCCCCCUGGGAUGACACUGACGCUCAUGCAUGAAAGCGUGGGGAGCAAACAAGAUUAGAUACCCUGGUUGUUCACGCCCUAAAAGAUGUCAACUAGCUGUUGGGGGUUCGAAUACUUGGUAGCGUAGCUAACGCCUGAAGUCGACCGCCUGGGGAGUACGGCCGCAAGGUUAAAACUCAAAGGAAUUGACGGGGAGCCGCACAAGCGGUGGAUGAUGUGGAUUAAUUUGAUGCAACGCGAAAAACCUUACCUACCCUUGACAUGUCCGGAAUCCCCUCGAGAGGCGGGAGUGCCCUAAAGGGAGCCGGAACACAGGUGUGGCAUGGCUGUCGUCAGCUCGUGUCGUGAGAUGUUGGGUUAAGUCCCGCAACGAGCGCAACCCUUGUCUUUAGUUGCCAUCAUUUGGUUGGGCACUUUAAUGAGACUGCCGGUGACAAACCGGAGGAAGGUGGGGAUGACGUCAAGUCCUCAUGGCCCUUAUGGGUAGGGCUUCACACGUCAUACAAUGGUCGGUACAGAGGGUCGCCAAGCCGCGAGGGGGAGCCAAUCUCAUAAAACCGAUCGUAGUUCGGAUCGCACUCUGCAACUCGAGUGCGUGAAGUUGGAAUCGCUAGUAAUCGCGGAUCAGCAUGCGCGGUGAAUAUUUUUUUUUUUCUUUACACACCGCUAAUCACAACCAAGGCAAUCGUAGAUUUUGAUCGUGGCUCGAGUAAGUCGUAACUAAUGGCUUAAG